UGGGGAAUAUUGCACAAUGGACGGAAGUCUGAUGCAGCGACGCCGCGUGGGGGAUGAAGGCUUUCGGGUUGUAAACUCCUUUCAGUACAGAAGAAGCUUUAUUGUGACGGUAUGUGCAGAAGAAGCGCCGGCUAACUACGUGCCAGCAGCCGCGGUAAUACGUAGGGCGCGAGCGUUGUCCGGAAUUAUUGGGCGUAAAGGGUACGUAGGCGGUCUAUUAAGUCAGGUGUGAAAGCGUGAGGCUUAACCUCAUUAAGCACUUGAAACUGAUAGACUUGAGUGAAGGAGAGGAAAGUGGAAUUCCUAGUGUAGCGGUGAAAUGCGUAGAUAUUAGGAGGAAUACCGGUGGCGAAGGCGACUUUCUGGACUUUUACUGACGCUCAGGUACGAAAGCGUGGGGAGCAAACAGG
rnacentral:rRNA from 1 species